rnacentral:misc_RNA from 1 species
UCUCCGUAGGUGAACCUGCGGAGGGAUCAUUACAGAGUUCGUGCCCUCACGGGUAGAUCUCCCACCCUGUGUUAUUAUACCUUUGUUGCUUUGGCGGGCCGCCCUCGGCUACCGGCCCCGGCUGGUACGCGCUCGCCAGAGGACCCCAAACUCUGAAUGUUAGUGUCGUCUGAGUACUAUACAAUAGUUAAAACUUUCAACAACGGAUCUCUUGGUUCUG